rnacentral:rRNA from 1 species
UGCCAGCCGCCGCGGUAAUACGGAGGGUGCAAGCGUUAUCCGGAAUCACUGGGUUUAAAGGGUGCGUAGGCGGCAUGAUAAGUCAGGGGUGAAAGCCCACAGCUCAACUGUGGAAUUGCCUUUGAUACUGUCAAGCUUGAAUUAGGUUGAGGUUGGCGGAAUGUGACAUGUAGCGGUGAAAUGCAUAGAUAUGUCAUAGAACACCAAUUGCGAAGGCAGCUGGCUAGACCUUAAUUGACGCUGAGGCACGAAAGCGUGGGGAGCGAACAGGAUUAGAUA